CCCCAUGAGGCACAUGCAGAGUGAGGCUUUGUAUAACUUGUAACCUGACCGCAGGAGACAGUUGAAUUAUUUUAGCUAAAAAUUACCGGGAGAGUCUGCCUGAGGCAGACAUCCAGCAUGGUGUGUUUGAGCUCAAGCAAGGCAUCACUAAUGGGAAAAGUUAAGCAACUUUAACUCCAGACAGAGCUCACAGGGGGAAAUUAGAAACUGGCUCUGUGGAUGGCCCCACCAGAAAACUUGUAGGGGUGUGUGUGAAAUCCUGCUGCUACGCAUCCGGUUAUCCAAUUGCUACAGACAUAGGUAUGCCAAGUCCUGUGGUAUCUCAAAGCAGAAGGGUUGUCCUUGGCCAUGCUGUGAGCUGCCCUGGCUGGUGGAUGAGGGACAAUGCUCCUGGAGGCCCGCUGAGGCUGCUGUGCUGGAGGGGAGCUCUGAGGAACUGAGGAGUGGUGGCACACAGUAAGCUGUACCUCAUGCUGGCAGUGAAGUCACCCUGGAGCCCCUUGCCUUAGCAUGAACUGCCACCUCCUGCUUUCGCAAUGAUGAGGUUUCGUAUCCUUUGUGAAUGCCUGGGCUGCAGGCCAGCCCGCCCAACUGCCUUUUCCCGGAGGAGGCUGGGCUGAGCUGCAUGCCCCUGCCCCACUGCCUCCGCCCCCAUGUCCAGGCCUUCACUCAGAUAUGCAUUGAGGAGCACCUUCCUCUCACCACAGCCUGCAGGAGCACAGUGUGGGCUGAGGAUGGAAAUGCAGAUGAGAUGCGAUGGCCCAAAAAACCCUGUCCCGUCCUGCUGGAUCCCAGUGUACACAGGCAGGGGCUGUAACUGCAUCCAUCCUCCCCUGCAGUACUGUUUUCCUAAACAUAUCUCCUCUCCUUCGCCUUCUCAGCCAGCAUCCUUUGUGCUUGUGCCUUGUGUCAGCUUGCCUGGGUCUACCUAGGUUGCUCAUACAAAUCACUCAGCAUCUGGUGGGCAGUGGCACCGGGGCUCGCAGAUGAGCUGGAAGUGCCUGCAUUACUUGCUCAGCUCAGGCGGGGGAUGACUUUUGGACAAACACCUUUGUUACUCCCACACAACCUUCCACCUUGUGGGGUGACCUUGCAAUACAUAGGCUGGGUUUGUGGUGGAAGAAACUAAACUGGAAAACGCUCUCUGGGAGCUCCCUGUCUGCUUCCUAGCUGAGUUCACAGAGCCAGACUGCAGCUAGUCUGAUGCAACCCUUCUAAAAUGUGCACUACAUGGAUGUAAAAUCCUUAAUCCCCAGUGCUUUGCCCUACAGAUAUACUAUGCUCCUAUUGGAUUGCAUGACUUUGUCUCACAGCCACAGCCCUUGGGACUGCUGCUGGACUAAGGGAGCAAACCUGAGCUAUUUUGGUAGUGGCCACAGCCCAUCCUUCUGGGAUGUUAUGCUACCCUGAAAUUGGUACCAAGAAACUUUGACACAGCAAUGUGGUGAAUCAUAGCUGUUCAACAGUGUUGGCAGAAACCCAGGAGCGCUACAGUGAGGGCACUACAGAAGUUUGUGGGUGGCAGCACCCCUCAGCCACGUCCCCAUGCCCUACCUGGGCUCCCCAGGCUGGAUGUAGAGAUGCAGGAGGGUAGACAGAAGGUGCAGAGGCCACAGGACAGAUUUUUGUUUCUGAACACUCAAAUGUCACAGGUCGUGGGGUAUUUGUCUGGAGGUCAUUUUAGUCCCAUAAGUACAGAAAAUAGGUCCUGUUUGCUGCUCACUGGUACUGAUGAGACUGUGUGUGUCCCCAUUAUGCAUCAUGUUUCCUGGCACAGAAGGCAAGUUUUCAGAGCUUCUGUUGUUCUGCUUCAAAAAUUCCUUUUUUUUCUUACUUAGAUGAAGGAACCCUUUGGAGAAUGAUGUCACCUGCACCUCAAAUACUCAGAAGUUUUUGAUCAUGAGUUUUAGAUGGCUUCAGGGUCAGGCUUGCUGAUUUACAAAGCACAUAACACACACUUUUCAAAACUUGUAAAAUAUG